rnacentral:rRNA from 1 species
AGACCGAUAGCGAACAAGUAGAGUGAUCGAAAGAUGAAAAGCACUUUGAAAAGAGAGUUAAACAGCACGUGAAAUUGUUGAAAGGGAAGCGCUUGCGACCAGACUCGCCCGCGGGGUUCAGCCGGCAUUCGUGCCGGUGUACUUCCCCGUGGGCGGGCGCARCGUCGGUUUGGGCGGCCGGUCAAAGGCCCCUGGAAUGUAGUGCCCUCCGGGGCACCUUAUAGCCAGGGGUGCAAUGCGGCCAGCCUGGACCGAGGAACGCGCUUCGKYACGGACGCUGGCAUAAUGGUUGUAAACGACCCGUCUUGAAACACGGACCAAG